AUUGAACGCUGGCGGCAUGCCUUACACAUGCAAGUCGAACGGUAACGGGCCUUCGGGUGCCGACGAGUGGCGAACGGGUGAGUAAUGCAUCGGAACGUACCUUUCAGUGGGGGAUAACGUAGCGAAAGUUACGCUAAUACCGCAUAUUCUGUGAGCAAGAAAGCAGGGGAUCGCAAGACCUUGCGCUGAUUGAGCGGCCGAUGUCAGAUUGGCUAGUUGGUGAGGGAAAGGCUUACCAAGGCGACGAUCUGUAGCGGGUCUGAGAGGAUGAUCCGCCACACUGGAACUGAGACACGGUCCAGACUCCUACGGGAGGCAGCAGUGGGGAAUUUUGGACAAUGGGGGCAACCCUGAUCCAGCCAUGCCGCGUGAGUGAAGAAGGCCUCCGGGUUGUAAAGCUCUUUCGGUCGGGAAGAAAUCGCAUGGGUUAAUACCCUGUGCGGAUGACGGUACCGGCAUAAGAAGCACCGGCUAACUACGUGCCAGCCGCCGCGGUAAUAC
rnacentral:rRNA from 1 species